UUCCUACGGGAGGCAGCAGUGGGGAAUAUUGCACAAUGGGGGGAACCCUGAUGCAGCGACGCCGCGUGAAGGAAGAAGUAUUUCGGUAUGUAAACUUCUAUCCGCAGGGAAGAAAAUGACGGUACCUGACUAAGAAGCCCCGGCUAACUACGUGCCAGCAGCCGCGGUAAUACGUAGGGGGCAAGCGUUAUCCGGAUUUACUGGGUGUAAAGGGAGCGUAGGCGACGAUGCAAGACAGAAGUGAAAGCCCGGGGCGCAACUCCGGGACGGCUUUUGAACCUGUGUUGCUAGAUUGCAGGAG
rnacentral:rRNA from 1 species